UACAGAGGGGGCAAGCGUUGUUCGGAAUUACUGGGCGUAAAGGGCGCGUAGGCGGCCAACUAAGUCAGACGUGAAAUCCCUCGGCUUAACCGGGGAACUGCGUCUGAUACUGGAUGGCUUGAAUCCGGGAGAGGGAUGCGGAAUUCCAGGUGUAGCGGUGAAAUUCGUAGAUAUUGGGAGGAACACCAGUGGCGAAGGCGGCGACCUGGACGAAGACUGACACUGAGGCGCGAAAGCGUGGGGAGCAAACAGG
rnacentral:rRNA from 1 species